rnacentral:rRNA from 1 species
AAUGAACGUUGGCGGCGUGGAUUAGGCAUGCAAGUCGAGCGAUAACCGUAGCAAUACGGGGACAGCGGCGAAAGGGAGAGUAACGCGUGGAUAAUCUACCCUCGGGACUGGGAUAGCCGCGGGAAGCUGCGGGUAAUACCGGAUAAUGUCUUCGGACCAAAGGUGCGAUUCCGCCCGGGGAUGAGUCCGCGUCCUAUUAGCUAGUUGGUGGGGUAAUGGCCUACCAAGGCGAAGAUGGGUACGGGGUGUGAGAGCAUGCCCCCGCUCACUGGGACUGAGACACUGCCCAGACACCUACGGGUGGCUGCAGUCGAGAAUCUUCGGCAAUGGGCGCAAGCCUGACCGAGCGACGCCGCGUGCGGGAUGAAGGCCUUCGGGUUGUAGACCGCUGUCGGAGGGGAGGAAAUGCACGGGGGUUCUCCCUCGUGUUUGACCUAGCCUCAGAGGAAGGACGGGCUAAGUUCGUGCCAGCAGCCGCAGUAA